AGAGUUUGAUCCUGGCUCAGAAUGAACGUUGGCGGCGUGGAUUAGGCAUGCAAGUCGAGCGAGAACCGUAGCAAUACGGGGACAGCGGCGUAAGGGAGAGGAUAACGCAGGUACCUACCCCCAGACCUGGGAUAGCCACGGGAAACCGUGGGUAAUACCAGAUAAUGUCUUCGGACCAAAGGUGUGAUUCCGUCCGGGGAGGGGCCUACGUCCUAUUAGCUUGUUGGUGGGGUAACGGCCUACCAAGGCAAUGAUGGGUACGGGGUGUGAGAGCACGACCCCGCUCACUGGGACUGAGAUACUGCCCAGACACCUACGGGUGGCUGCAGUCGAGGAUCUUCGGCAAUGGGCGCAAGCCUGACCGAGCGACGCCGCGUGCGGGAUGAAGGCCUUCGGGUUGUAAACCGCCGUCGGAGGGGAGGAAAUGCUAGGGGGUUCUCCCUCUAGUUUGACCUAUCCUCAGAGGAAGUACGGGCUAAGUUCGUGCCAGCAGCCGCGGUAAGACGAACCGUACAAACGUUAUUCGGAAUCACUGGGCUUAAAGGGUGCGUAGGCGGCUCAGAAAGUUGGGUGUGAAAUCCCUCGGCUCAACCGAGGAACUGCGCCCAAAACUACUGAGCUCGAGGGAGACAGAGGUAAGCGGAACUUAGGGUGGAGCGGUGAAAUGCGUUGAUAUCCUAAGGAACACCAGUUGCGAAAGCGGCUUACUGGGUCUCUUCUGACGCUGAGGCACGAAAGCUAGGGGAGCGAACGGGAUUAGAUACCCCGGUAGUCCUAGCCGUAAACGAUGAGCACUGGUUUGGAGGGUCCUCCAUAGA
rnacentral:rRNA from 1 species